rnacentral:rRNA from 1 species
UACGAAGGGGGCUAGCGUUGUUCGGAUUUACUGGGCGUAAAGCGCGCGUAGGCGGAUUUUUAAGUCAGGGGUGAAAUCCCGGGGCUCAACCUCGGAACUGCCCUUGAUACUGGGAAUCUCGAGUUCGGGAGAGGUGAGUGGAACUGCGAGUGUAGAGGUGAAAUUCGUAGAUAUUCGCAAGAACACCAGUGGCGAAGGCGGCUCACUGGCCCGAUACUGACGCUGAGGCGCGAAAGCGUGGGGAGCAAACAGG